GAUUAGCGGCGGACGGGUGAGUAACACGUGGGUAACCUGCCUGUAAGAUUGGGAUAACUCCGGGAAACCGGAGCUAAUACCGGAUAACAUUUCGAACCGCAUGGUUCGAAAUUAAAAGAUGGCUUUUAGCUAUCACUUACAGAUGGACCCGCGGCGCAUUAGCUAGUUGGUGAGGUAACGGCUCACCAAGGCGACGAUGCGUAGCCGACCUGAGAGGGUGAUCGGCCACACUGGGACUGAGACACGGCCCAGACUCCUACGGGAGGCAGCAGUAGGGAAUCUUCCGCAAUGGACGAAAGUCUGACGGAGCAACGCCGCGUGAACGAUGAAGGCCUUCGGGUCGUAAAGUUCUGUUGUUAGGGAAGAACAAGUACCGUUCGAAUAGGGCGGUACCUUGACGGUACCUAACCAGAAAGCCACGGCUAACUACGUGCCAGCAGCCGCGGUAAUACGUAGGUGGCAAGCGUUGUCCGGAAUUAUUGGGCGUAAAGCGCGCGCAGGUGGUUUCUUAAGUCUGAUGUGAAAGCCCACGGCUCAACCGUGGAGGGUCAUUGGAAACUGGGGAACUUGAGUGCAGAAGAGGAAAGUGGAAUUCCAAGUGUAGCGGUGAAAUGCGU
rnacentral:rRNA from 2 species